rnacentral:SRP_RNA from 1 species
UGGCUGGCUAGGCUGGGAGGGUGACGUCUCCUACUCUACAAAUCGUCGUUGGUGGGGCCGAAGCCCGGGGGAAGGGGCAAACUGACCUGUCACGGAUUGCGGGGAAAGCGUCGAAACCCUGUCCAGCGGUGGUCUAGGAAACGGCGAACCGGGCCAGAUCCGGAAGGAAGCAACCCUAACUGUCAAAUGGACGCCCGCUGGGGGCGGGGUGGAGCAGACUCCAAGACACCGGACAGGUUAAGCGUUUCGACUUCCGGGCGUGCCAGCCA